UAAUUUAGUUCUUGCAUUAAACAUGAGAUAAAUAAAUUGUUGGUCAAAAAAUACAAUUAUUAAUUGUUAAAUUAUAGUGACAUGAAAAAAUGUAGCAAUGACCAAAUUCUAUUUUCUCACACCCACAAUUUAUUUACCUUAAUUUUAUUGCAAUGACUAAAUAUUAAAAACACAUUUACUCUAAUUUUUUCUCAUACAUAAUAUUGAAAUCCUCUCCAUUCUCCCUCACAUUCUAGCUCAAAAUCCUCUCCAUUUUCUCCUUCACAUUCUCCCACACAUCAAGUUAUUUUAACUAAUACGAAUCAUAUAUAACAAGCAAACUAUCCAUCACAUUCUAGCUCAAAAACAUGUAUAAAUAAAAAUCCUCUCC
rnacentral:lncRNA from 1 species